AUUGAACGCUGGCGGCAGGCCUAACACAUGCAAGUCGAGCGAACGGCGGACGGGUGAGUAAUGUCUGGGAAACUGCCUGAUGGAGGGGGAUAACUACUGGAAACGGUAGCUAAUAACGCAUACAAUCAGAUGUGCCCAGAUGGGAUUAGCUAGUAGGUGGGGUAACGCGCCACAUAGGCGACUGUCCCUAGCUGGUCUGAGAGGAUGACCAGCCACACUGGAAAGGAGACAUGGUCCAGACUCCUAGGGGAGGCAGCAGUGGGGAAUAUUGCACAAUGGGCGCAAGCCUGAUGCAGCCAUGCCGAGUGUGUGAAGAAGGACUUUGAGUUGUAAAGCACUGUCAGCGGGGAGGCGUUACCCGCAGAAGAAGCACCGGCUAACUCCGUGCCAGCAGGCGCGGUAAUAC
rnacentral:rRNA from 1 species